rnacentral:lncRNA from 1 species
GCCCUCCCGGGCGAUGGCGGCCCGCGGGGACCCGGGCGGCGGCGGCGGGGCGACGGCCGCGGCGCCUGCGGGCCGGCGUGAUUGAUAGGGACGGGGCGGCGGAGCGGCGGCGGCGGCGGAGCGCUUGAGUGACAGCUUACCUGGGUGCCAAUCUUCAUCACACUGACAAGCGGCUGCAGCAAUCGGGACCCGCAGUGCCGCGCCCGCGUCCAACCGUCACGCCGACGCUGGGCCACGCGACACAGCCUCGCUCAAUGGGAGGAGGGCGACGCCGACGCGCGCCGCAUCAAUAUUCAGGCGGGGGGCGGGGCCUGCGCCGCCCGGGCCCCGCCCCGUCCCUGCGCCGCGGCGGCGCGGGGCGGGGCCUGCGCGCGGGGGCGGGGCCUGCGCGCGGGGGGCGGGGCCGGCGCCUCGGGGGCGGGGAGCGAGGCGGGGGCGGGCGGCGGCCGGCCCCGCCCCCGCCUCGCGCCCGCGCCGGGCUCCGCCCCCAGCAGGGCGCGCCGGGGAGGGCGAGGAGCGGCCCGGCCUCAUGACUAUGCAGCAGGGGGCGGGGCCGCGGUGGGCGGAACCAUCGGCCGCGGGCCGGCGGGGAGGGCGGGCCGGACCAUCGGGCCGGCCGGGGCGCGACCUGGCGCAGUUGCCACAGCACAGAGGCGAGCCUUGGGCAGCCGUAGGAAUGCAGUUCAGAAAGGAAACAAGUAUCACACCGGAACCGCCCGAUGCCUUCAAAGCCGCUGAGCGAGAAAAGCGACAUCAGACUUCCAUCCCGGUUUUACACGACUUCUAUACGGUGUGUUGGCUUACAUCCAAGAGCAGAAGUUAAGGCUGUCUCUAUUUUUGGUGAACAGCUGCAUGGGUCAUGAUUAUGAUGAGGGAACGGAGGACUAGCUGAGGACAAGGCACAUCGACAAGUCCUUGAAAAGGCAGAGGGACCUUCCUCUACGGACUCAGCUGCCUGGAUGUUCAUACCUCGCUAAGGGCAGAAGGCAACCUCAGCCCGACCCCCAGGAGCCUGGAAGUCUACUUUAACAUAUAAAAAUUUCUUUAGAAAUGGUCCUUUAUCGGGCAGCUCUGGUGGCUCAACGGUUUAGUGCCGCCUUUGGCCCAGGGCCUGAUCCUGGAGUCCUGGGAUCGAAUCCCACGUCGGGCUCCCUGCAUGGGCUUCUCCCUCUGCCUGUGUCUCUGCCUCUGUGUGUGUGUGUGUCUCGUGAAUGAAUGAAAAUAAAAUCUUUUUUUAAAAAUGUCCUUUAUCUCUAAACCCCCACAAUACAUGUUGACGAUCAUCCCCAAGCACACGGCCCACCGAUACACAUCUGAAGGGUCUCAUGCCUCGGAUUUAUUAGAGGGUAAUAAGUGACCUUUGCCCAACAAUAGCUGCCCCUCAGGAAACCUUGCUGGAAACGUUGCUUCCAAGCUUCCUUCGAGAGGACGCCAUCCUCAAACCCCUCCCUACUCCCAGGUGUGUAACCAGCCUCCCCUCACAGGCCCCGGGCCGCCGCUCUUCCUGCCCACGGGCCCGUCCCCGGGCUUCCAUAAACCCCCCACUCUGCACCAAAGACGCCUCCGGAAUCCUUUCUUGGUCGUCGGCUCCGGGCCUCACCUGUAUUCCAAGAUUUCACCACUAAUGGCACAAAGGUACUUAAUGCCCUGCGUGGGGGACGGCUCGAGGUUAAGGCUGCAGGCGGUGGGGGGAGGCAGGGCUUGAGCUGGUCUUGACGGAUGGCUAGGAUCUGGAGGCAUCACUAAGGAAAAUGAGCGAGAAAACCACUUAAAAAUAAGGCCAGGUUUUGGGAUCCCUGGGUGGCUCAGCGGUUUAGCACCUGCCUUCAGUUCAGGACGUGAUCCUGGAGUCCCGGGAUUGAGUCCCACAUCAGGCUCCCUGCAUGGAGCCUGCUUCUCCCUCUGCCUGUGUCUCUGUCUCUGCCUCUCUCUGGGUCUUUCACGAAUAAAUAAAUAAAAUCUUAAAAAAAAAAAAAUAAGGGCAGGUCUCUAAGCUAAUUAAGGCAGCCAGGGUGGCUGAUGUAUAAACUGCCCCAGGUUGCAUGGGUGGACAGGGGCCCCAAGGCACCAGCAGUGCUGGGCUGCAACCAUGGGAUGAUCUUUUUUUUUUUUUUUCUUUUUUAUUCAUGAGAGAUACCGAGAGAGAGGCAGAGACACAGGCAGAGGGAGAAGCAGGCUCCAUGCAGGGAGCCCGACGUGGGACUCGAUCCCAGGGCUCUGGGAUCACACCCUGGGCUGAAGGUGGCGCUAAACCCGCUGAGCCACCAGGGCUGCCCUGAUGGGGUGAUUCUUUUAAAAAUAUGAGUCAGGGGGCACCUGGGUGGCGGCUCAGUCGCCUUUGGCUCAGGUUGUGAUCCCAAGAUCCUAGGCUCAAGCCCCGCAUCGGGCUCCAGAUCAGCGGAGAGUCUGCUCCUCUCUCUCUCUCAAUAAAUGAGUAAAUAAAACCUUAAAAGUGUUUAAGUCAGAUCACGUCACUGUUCAGCUCAACCCCUUGGAGGCUCCCCAUCAUAUUCACCGUAAAAGCCAAGUCUUUACAGUAGUAGCCAAAGGGGACCUGCAGGAUUCUGUGCCCCCGGGACACUUGGGUGGCUCAGGGGUUGAGUGUCUGCCUUUGGCUCAGGGAUGGAGUCCCAUCGAGCUCCCUGCAGGGAGCCUGCUUCUACGUCUACUGUUUCACCACCACCACCACCCCAGACACAUGCAAACACUAGAAUUUACACUUCCUAAGAGCACGAAUUUCACUUCACUGAUGGAUGCUGAGCACCUGGACAGGUGCCUGACAAACUAGUAUUUGCCGAACGCAUGAAUGAAGGUGUCUAAGACCCGGUGUAUUAGCAAUCCAUCGCUUUGUAACAAAUUACCACAAACUUAGUGGCUCCAAACAACACGCAUUUAUCAUCUCACGGCUUCUGCUCCUCGGGAAUACAGGCCUGGCUUGACUGGGUCCUCUGCCUCAGGGUCUCACAGGUGCCAGCCAGGACUGGGGGGCUCCUUGGAAGGCUCCACUGGGGAUGGAUCCAUCUCCAAGCUCACAUGGUUGUUAUCAGGGCUCAUUUCCUGGUGGGCGGAUGGUCUGAGGGUCUCAGCUCCUUGCUGGCAUUUGGCAGGAGGUCACCUUCAGUUUCUUGCCACCUGGACCUCUUUAUGGGGGGAACUCAUGACCGGCAGCUUGCUUCAUUAAGGCCAGCAAGGAACAGAGUCUGCUAGGAAGACAGAAAUAACAUUUUUUUUUUAAGAUUUUUUUUUUUUUAAUUCAUGUGAGACACGGAGAGAGAGGCAGAGACACAGGCAGAGGGAGAAGUAGGCUCCAUGCAGGGAGCCCGAUGCGGGACUCGAUCCCUGGACCCCGGGAUCACGCCCUGAGCCCAAGGCAGAUGCUCAGCCACUGAGCCACCCGGGCAUCCCAGAAGUGACAUCUCAUCACUUUUGCUGUACUCUAUUGGUGAGAAGAAAGUCCCAGGUCCCGCUCACACUCGAGGGGAGAUCACAUGAAGACAGGACCUCCAGGAGGAGAGGAUCCCAGCAGGCCACUCAGGGGCUGCUCACACGAGACAGUUUCCUUGUCCGUGUUAAAGAGACAGUUGCGGGGGGCUCAAGGGGUUAAACAUCCAACUCUUAGUCUGGCUCAGGUCAUGAUCUCGGGGUUGUGAGAUGAAGCCCCACAUUGGGCUCCGUGCUCAUCAGAGUCAGCUGGACAUUCUCUCUCUCUCCCUCUGCUUGCUGUUUCUCUUCAUCUCUCUCUAAAACAAAUGAAUGAAUGAAUGAAUGAAUGAAUGAAUGAAUCAAUACAUAAAUAUCUUAGAGAGAGACGCUUGUGGUAUGGUCAAAGGAGCCCUGGGCUUGCAGCCCGCAGUCCGGGUACAAAGUCUGGCUUUGCCACUUGCCAGGUAAACCCCAGGAGGCAGUUUCAUUCCAGGGUUCAGUUCCCUGUCUUCAGGGGGGCAGGGGGGGCCGCGGUACCUGUCUGAGAGGCUUGCACAGAGGGGAAAAUGGGGCUGCAGAUGGAAAGUGCUGGGGGCGCCGGGCUAGCAGAGCUCGUGAAGAGCUCCGGCUGGGAGGAGGGGUCCCAACACGCACACUUUUAUUCCCAAGCCUUGGCUUUCUCGAGAGAACGAUCCCGACAGUGAAGUCCUAAGAGAUCAGGAGACGCUGUCCUCACCACCAUCCCUCAAGGAUCCCAGCAAAACGCGGCGGGGAACGGCAGCCGCAGCCACAUGCAGGGUGGACCGAUGUCCAACAAGCUGUGAACCGAAGGAAGAAUCCUGAGCCUCGUGCGGGUCCACAGGCAGCGUGUGCCAGACGCCCGCCUUCCUGACUCCCAACCCGGAGAACUGGUAAGAUGGUGCGAGCGAUGGGGGAAAGGCUUAGGCUUCGGAGCCGAGGGCCAAGAAAGAAUUCUUGAGAUAUCUUUGGUUCAAAAAGGUGAUUUUAGGGCACCCGGGUGGUUCAGUGGUUGAGCAUCUGCCUUUGGCUCAGGGCGUGACCCCGGGGUCCUGGGAUCGAGUCCUGCAUCUGGCUCCUGCAUGGAGCCUGCUUCUCUCUCUGCCUGUGUCUCUGCUUCUCUGUCUCUCUCUCUCUCUCUCUCUGGGUCUC